UGCGAAGGUGUAUUGGGUGUAUUUGAAAGCGCGCGUAACGAAAUCCGAAUGGCUCACUGGAAGCGCGCCUUUUUAAUGCAUUUCGUUCGGCUUGCUCUUUGGCAAGAUAAUUUGAAAUAGGUCUUGUUUGUUUUUUUGCCUGAAACCAACCUAAACAUGGUCCGUAGCCCUGCGAAGUCGAAAGAGAGCAAAUGGUCCUACUUAAGGACAAGACCACGGCUGUACAACAAGCCUACUCACCGUUCUUUCAAAGUUAUUUGGGAAGACAGUUCGCCGGAUGUGCUUGGAAAGCCUCAAAGUUCACCAUGCGAUGCAGUUCCUCCGUCAUACUCCACAUCAUCUGGCAGCAAGGAGGCUGCUCAACACACACCGAAAGUGAUGAGAAGUGGAUAUGAGAGCGAGCUAGAUGAAGACCCAAUCCCACCAUCCGUACGAAAACUGCUCCUUGUGCCAUCAUCUGGGAAGGCUUUAUCUGCUGAGCCGUUGCCUAACUUGCCACCUAGCAAGCCCUCUGAACUCUUGAAGGAUCUGUGCUUUGACAGUGAACACUCACUUAUAAGCGAAUGUUCAAGAGAGGCUUUGCUAGUAAAGAGGCCAUUGCUAAAUAUAACUUCAGAGCCUCAAGCACAAGGGAGUAAACAUUUGCCAAUGAAGGAAAUGUCAAGAUCUUUUGGAAAGGAGCAAUCAAGAAAACUAGACUUUGAAGCAGGCACAAAUGGUGCAGCUGUACCAACUUCUCAGAGGCAAUAUCGAACAGUUUCUAUGAAUGGGAGUGUGAAUGCUCAUGGUACAGAAAAAAGAUCUGCUUCGAAAGAAUCGAAGAAUAGACAUUCCAGGAUACAUCACGUGGAAGUUCCAAAAAGUAGCCCACCUGGGAAUGAACAAGUUGCAUUAGCUGAAAAGAGGAUGCCAGAUGUUACGUACAUGCCACACAGUUGCACCACACCUGUUGCUCAGAAUAUCCAGAGCAAAGAAGGAACACAGUAUACCUCUGAAUCGGAAAGUACAAAACGCAGCUCAUUUAGAAAUCGGCAAGGUGUGCCAGCCAAAAAGUGCAUGUCAGAUGCUUCACCAUUUGUGCCACGAGCUCACAGUACACCUCUACCUUCAAUGAAACAUAUUAUUUCUAUUGGAUCUUCUAGUAAUCCAAUGGAGCUUAGGUCUUGGUUAGCAAGAUGGAGAACUGCACCACAACUGGAAACGUCACCGGUUUCUUCGGCCACCAAAAAUGCACCGAUGAGUUGCAUUUCCCAAAGCACCGCAGCUGAAAGUAAGCAGCACAGUACAGCUUCUUUGCAUUCAUCCACAAAAAUGACGCAAGUUAAAACAUGUCAAGAUAUCAACACUGCCGGAACUGACAAAAACGGUGAAUCCUCUCCUGGAAAGGCCUACGAGGUUGCUUUGGUAGAGCAGCAUGAUGUUUCUUUUCCAGCGCAUCGAAAGGCUGAUGGUGCAAAGCAGUCAUCUUUGUCAAAGCAUAAUCAAAGCCAAGCCCCUGCUGAAGAUAAGCAAGCCAGUAAAAGAAGCCCUAAACAGCUACAUGUGUCGUUUGAUGAUCAAAGAAAAUAUCUGGAGCACACAUUCAUCAACAGUGAAGUACAGAGUGAAGAGGGGUCUCCAGUCAUACCUAAGCUUCAGGAACGUGGACUAACGAGAAAAGGCAAAAGGGAUGCACAGUGGGGAACAGAGUCACCAGUCAUACCCAAGCUCCAGGAAGGUGCUCAAGCAAAGAAGCCCAAAAUGGACACACGUGAUCUGCAACUGUCUCCAGCCGUACCCACGGUUCAAAGACGUGCUCAUAGGAAAAAGCACAAAAGACGCAAGGCUUGGGUUCAAGUUCAGCUCUAUGACCAGCCUAGUGGACUGCGUACAAAAGCUGAUGUGACCAUGUAUGACAUCUACCUUUCACUUGCACUUGAAAUAAUUGAAGAGAACAGCAUCAUCGUGCCUGGUUACACCUCUCCCUCUACUCCAGCGGUGAGUGUCUUCCUGUUGUGUGACAGCAUCCUGCUCUGAGAGACAGCAGUGUCAGUCGGAGAAAGAAAAAAGGGUUAUGGCGCGGUUUUACGAAGAAGUUGCCAAGGAUGCCACCAAAAUUAUCGAUGAACUCCAAGUAUAUACCAAUGAGCUCUCUGAACUGAAACAGGAAAUGUCGAAGAUGACAGA
rnacentral:misc_RNA from 1 species